rnacentral:rRNA from 1 species
GACGAACGCUGGCGGCGUGCUUAACACAUGCAAGUCGAACGGAAAGGCCCUGCUUUUGUGGGGUGCUCGAGUGGCGAACGGGUGAGUAACACGUGAGUAACCUGCCCUUGACUUUGGGAUAACUUCAGGAAACUGGGGCUAAUACCGGAUAGGAGCUCCUGCUGCAUGGUGGGGGUUGGAAAGUUUCGGCGGUUGGGGAUGGACUCGCGGCUUAUCAGCUUGUUGGUGGGGUAGUGGCUUACCAAGGCUUUGACGGGUAGCCGGCCUGAGAGGGUGACCGGCCACAUUGGGACUGAGAUACGGCCCAGACUCCUACGGGAGGCAGCAGUGGGGAAUAUUGCACAAUGGGCGGAAGCCUGAUGCAGCAACGCCGCGGGCGGGAUGACGGCCUUCGGGUUGUAAACCGCUUUCGCCUGUGACGAAGCGUGAGUGACGGUAAUGGGUAAAGAAGCACCGGCUAACUACGU